GACGAACGCUGGCGGCGUGCCUAACACAUGCAAGUCGAACGGAACUUUUUUAAAAGAUUUCUUCGGAAUGAAUUUGAUUAAGUUUAGUGGCGGACGGGUGAGUAACGCGUGAGUAACCUGCCUCUAAGAGGGGAAUAACAUUCUGAAAAGAAUGCUAAUACCGCAUAACAUAUAUUUAUCGCAUGGUAGAUAUAUCAAAGAUUUAUCGCUUAGAGAUGGACUCGCGUCCGAUUAGUUAGUUGGUGAGGUAACGGCUCACCAAGACUGCGAUCGGUAGCCGGACUGAGAGGUUGAACGGCCACAUUGGGACUGAGACACGGCCCAGACUCCUACGGGAGGCAGCAGUGGGGGAUAUUGCGCAAUGGGGGAAACCCUGACGCAGCAACGCCGCGUCGAAGGAUGAAGGUCUUC
rnacentral:rRNA from 1 species